CUUGUAGGCCUGUUGUUACCUCCUUCAGUCCCCUACGACCUUGUGAUGCCUGCUGCAAUGCUGUUAAGAUGCUUGGACAGUCAUGCCUGAGUGUGAUUGUAAAUGGCCCACCAAUAUCUGGUGUCAACCGCAACAUGGCCCUGCAGCUCCCAGCAAUUGUGCCGCCAACUUUGAACCAUGUGGUCUUCAGAUGUAUCUGGUGUCUGUGCCAACUCUGGUUCUUAAUAAAGAGCAAAGAGAGCUAUAGAAGAUCUUUCUAUGUACUAAGAUAAUAUGGCUUACCAGUAAUAAAAUUAUAUCUGGAUGGUUCUGAAUUAUAUAUUAGCUUGUUUCUCUUAUCUAGUAUUUCUAUAAUACCCCUCUCCUGCUAAGUGUUUUUGGAUCCAUUUUCACAUUGAAGUUUGUUUUGGCAGUAAUUUAGUCAUUUUGUGACAUAAUAUUGUCAUUCAGCAAUAAAGAGAAUCAGUGGUUUUCAA